rnacentral:lncRNA from 10 species
GGUUCCCGCUCGCGCCUCUCCCUCCACACCUCCCUGCAAGCUGAGGGAGUGGACUCUGGCCUUGGCCAGCCCAGAAAGGGGCUCCCACAGUGCAGCCGUGGGCUGAAGGGCUCCUCAAGUGCCGCCAAAGUGGGAGCCCAGGCAGAGGAGUCGCCGAGAGCGAGCGCGGGCUGUGAGGACUGCCAGCACGCUGUCACCUCUCAAUAACGCCCAUCCCAACGUUUCCUGAGGAAUAAUUUUGGUCGUGUUCCUGCUACUCAGCUUUUCGUGGUUCCUGCUCAUUUUCAGAGUCUAACAUUCCAGCUUUUCCGGAAAUUCUAUACUUUGAUGUAAAAGUUUUCAAAGAAAUGCUUUGGGCAGAAGAGACUCAUGGAAACUGAGUGGUCUUGAACUCCUGGCCUCAAGUAAUCCUCCCCACUGGGCUUCCCAAAGUGCUGGGACUACAGAGGUGAGCCAAUACAUCAAGCCCAAUUGUUGUUUCAGUUAUGCUUGCUACACUUGCAAAGCCAAGCAAAUGUUACAAAUGUGCAAGAAAUUAGAGGUAUGGUAAGAUGUUGCUUAAUCACUAUUGGGUAAUUGUUGGACAGCUUUCAGAAUCUCUACAUUCCCCAAACCGGUUUCAGAUGAAAUUUUAGACCAGACUGCUAUGCAAUUUUACAUAGUAAUUAGUAUAAUAAUCUCUAAGCAGGGCAUUCUCCAAUUUUUACCCUCC